UCUGAUACGUCGCGUGGGAGAUCUAACGAAACCCGCUUUGAGGUCACAUGUGAGUGACCUCGUAGAUGUGUCUUUUUCGGCCAAUGAAAAUUUUUCGACGAUCUUGAAAGUUUAUCGUGAGGUAAAGGGAUGUAACUCAUUUUAUUUACGAAGAAAUCGUCAGUCCAAAAAAUGCAUAAACUUUUUUGAUUGGUUUAUUGAUAGGUCAUCAAAUCAUUUGCAUAUCAUUAUAAAUUUAUAACUUCC
rnacentral:lncRNA from 1 species